UACGUAGGUGGCAAGCGUUGUCCGGAAUUAUUGGGCGUAAAGCGCGCGCAGGCGGUCCCUUAAGUCUGAUGUGAAAGCCCACGGCUCAACCGUGGAGGGUCAUUGGAAACUGGGGGACUUGAGUGCAGAAGAGGAAAGUGGAAUUCCAUGUGUAGCGGUGAAAUGCGUAGAGAUGUGAAGGAACACCAGUGGCGAAGGCGACUUUCUGGUCUGUAACUGACGCUGAGGCGCGAAAGCGUGGGGAGCAAACAGGAUUAGAUACCCGUGUA
rnacentral:rRNA from 1 species